UACAGAGGGUGCAAGCGUUGUUCGGAAUUAUUGGGCGUAAAGGGCGCGUAGGCGGUGCUAUAAGUCUGUGGUGAAAUCUCUGGGCUCAACUCAGAGUCUGCCAUAGAAACUGUAGUGCUAGAGUGUGGGAGAGGUGAGUGGAAUUCCGGGUGUAGUGGUGGAAUGCGUAGAGAUCCGGAGGAACACCAGCGGCGAAGGCGGCAUCCUGGACUGGUCCUGACACUCAGGAGCGAAAGCGUGGGGAGCGAUCCGG
rnacentral:rRNA from 1 species